AGGAGUGCAUGUGGUAACAGAGGGGUGCGAAGGAUAAAAAUGGAGGUGCAGCGAGCAGUAGAAAUGGGCUGAUCGAAUUAUUUGAAAUAAGAAACUGAAAACCCUAAUUUUAACUCAAGCCCCCUUCUCUUUAGUUCACCACGACAACCCUUCCUCUCUUCUCCCGAGCAGUCGCCGCAUCCAUCGAACCUCCGCCUAGUUGCAUCUCUGGAGCUCGUCGCCGCUCAACCAGAGGCCAUUGUCGGCGCCACUGCGAUGCUCUUGACCGAGACUGCCACCGGCACAGACGAGAAACUCGCGGUUUCUUCUCUUCAUUUUUUUUGUGCGAGACAGACCACUUCUUCCCCUCGUGACCACAAGACAAUAUCGAUCCUCCUCACGGCUACACAACUUUGCUCGCCGGAUACUGCCGUCAGCGGUUUCAGCCGGUGUCCACGCUGGCUCCCCAUUCGUCUCCAAUCUUCGACUCUCCUCUUCCGCGAGAGAGAAAGGUGCGCGAGCCACCGCGAUUGGGUCUGCUACCAUCACGCUCCUCCGCUUAGAGCUCCGACGACGCAACGUGAACGCCGCUGCUGCCGCGACGAGACGUGCCACCGGUGAUGCCAAGCUUCCAAAUGUUCAACUAUCUCCUUCCACAAGAAAGAAAGGUGCGCGACGACUCUGAGGCUCGUCACCACCGUGCCAGCCACCGCGAUUGGGUCUGCAACCAUCACGCGGCCACACUCCUCCGUUCACGCGACCACAAGCGACCAUACUCCAGUGGAAAUGGUGAUGUGAUGUUGAGAUGGUGGCUCUACGAAAGGGGUAUGCUAUGGGAGUGGGAAUGUUGCGAUGGUGAAGGAGAAAGUGUGUGAAGGGUCUGAAGUGGUGCCAAACUAGGAUGAAGACUUGUGGGAUAAAACCUGAUCUGUGUGUGCGUGCAUGCUGAGUUUGGUAUCUGUUUUUUUUUUAUUUUGGUUUUUUAUGCAGGUGAAUGUGAAGAUGAGGAUGAAAGUGAUUCAGGUUCAGCGGGAGAAAGGUAGGGGUAAUGAAGACUCGGUUGGGAAUGAAAGUGUGGUGGGUUAGAAGGUAUAGCUGGUUUUGUUGUGUGUGUACAUACGGGGGAGGAUAGAUCGGCGUGAGGAUUCAAUAGAGAGGAUAGUGGAGGAUUCAAACAACAAUAAUGUAGUAAUAUAGAUUCAAUGAGCCAAACAAAUGACAAGCAACACUGAAUAUAUAUGACUACAUUUUAUUCAUUCUCAA